CGGGAGUUGCAAACGCUGUCGAUGACAGCACCCCAGGUGACCCGAACCUUAAAGGUCACGCCGCUCCCGCGGUGGUUCAGCCCAAGUACGAUUCGCAUCCGGCAGCUCGUACGGUCACUACCCAUGUGAUGGAUGC
rfam:Pseudomonas putida CSV86 contig00045, whole genome shotgun sequence.